AGUUAAAGAGCACCUAUUAUGAGAUACACGUUUUUAAACAUCCUUUUGUGUGUAAGUGUGUAUUAGUACAUGCUAACGAUAUUCAAAAAGUACAUACCUCAAAGAAAACGAUGACGCGAGUUAUCGUCUCUAACGUUCGAGGACUACAAAAAACACUCGGAUUGUAGGCAACAGUUUACUUCCUGGGAUUAGUGACGUAGAGAAGACCAACAUUAUCAUAGUUCAGCCCUCUCUGCUUCGCUUGGGUACGCCCUCAAAGACGGGGGUGGAGAGCGCUGAGUCAGAAGAGAGCUAAAAUGGCGGAGGUUGGGAGUCCCUGCUUUGACCCUGUUUGCAAACUCUUGUUUCAUCAUUUAAGCGAUUAAAUCUCUCGAGUAGACGCUGUCUCUUUAGAUGCAAGGGCAAAAUAGCACUUUAUGGACUUACACAGAGGACAUCAUGUUUAAUACGGUUCCGGAAAAAUCCAGUCAGAAGUUGUUCACGGAGUUUUCACAAUAACUGCUUCUCAUGAACCGAAGCUGCGCGACGUCUCCUCCUGAAAGUUGGAUUACCGUGCACUUCUGGAUCACAGGCUAUUCGCAGCUGGACACAUCCUUCUACACUGUAUGCAAACAUGCAACAUCAUACACACAGUACAAGGAGUCAGACUGGCAUAUGAGGAGCAAAGGAACCCAGGCAGUAGCAUAGUUUCACAAUGUUUCAAUCACCAUCAUCAGUGGAUGCCUUUGCCGUCCGUAGCCUGAGAUUUCAGAUUUGCAGCAAAAAAUGGGACUUUCCCAUUUAUUGGAAUGCUGUGCAGGUUAUACCUUACAGCCGUCCAUUACAAUGUCACCAAGCCGUAACAAAAGCAGGAGAGGGAAAGUACAAGGCUAUGUUCCCAAAACACACAAGUGACAUACUUUAUGUGGAUGAUGUGAUCAGGCUUGUGUUUGCUGAGGUAUUUGAAGAUAAGCUGAAGGAAACCCCGAUUCCAAUGGACCUUGCAUCACAGUUUGAGAGACCUUCAAAGGAGGACGUGAUUGCAUGCCAUCUUCAGUGCAG